rnacentral:rRNA from 1 species
CUACGGGGCGCUCCAGUGAGGAAUUUUGCGCAAUGGGGGCAACCCUGACGCAGCAACGCCGCGUGAGUGAAGAAGGCCUUUGGGUCGUAAAGCUCUGUCAAUGGGGAAGAAGUUAUUAUGUGUUAAUAGCACAUUUUAUUGACGGUACCCAUGAAGGAAGCACCGGCUAACUCCGUGCCAGCAGCCGCGGUAAUACGGGGGGUGCAAGCGUUAUUCGGAAUUAUUGGGCGUAAAGGGCACGCAGGCGGUCCUGUCAGUCAGAUGUGAAAGCCCAGGGCUCAACCCUGGACGUGCAUUUGAAACAGCAGGACUUGAGUACGGGAGAGGAAAGGGGAAUUCCUGGUGUAGAGGUGAAAUUCGUAGAUAUCAGGAGGAACACCGGUGGCGAAGGCGCCUUUCUGGACCGAUACUGACGCUGAGGUGCGAAGGCGUGGGUAGCGAACGGGAUUAGAUACCCCUGUAGUC